rnacentral:rRNA from 1 species
CUACGGGCUGCUCCAGUAGGGAAUAUUGUGCAAUGGGGGAAACCCUGACACAGCGACGCCGCGUGAACGAUGAAGGUCGUAAGAUCGUAAAGUUCUGUCAAGAGGGAAGAAAGGAUAAGAAGUUAAUAGCUACUUAUCUAUGACGGUACCUCUGGAGGAAGCACCGGCUAAAUACGUGCCAGCAGCCGCGGUAAUACGUAUGGUGCAAGCGUUGUCCGGAAUCAUUGGGCGUAAAGGGCACGUAGGCGGUCUAUUAAGUCAAGGGUGAAAUCAUCAUGCUCAACGUGGUGGCGGCCUUUGAAACUGGUGGACUAGAGUUUGGGAGAGGAAAUCGGAAUUCCUGGUGUAGUGGUGAAAUGCGUAGAUAUCAGGAAGAACACCAAAGGCGAAGGCAGAUUUCUGGACCAAUACUGACGCUAAUGUGCGAAAGCGUGGGGAGCGAACGGGAUUAGAUACCCUUGUAGUC